CAUUGUUUUAAAAGUAAAAAAAAAAAUAACAACACUUGCAACAUAAUAGAAAAAGCUAUCAACAAAAAUUUAAUGGUCAUAUAUUAGAUAUUAAAACUAAAUAUUUUUUUCUGAAUCUUAAUACCUGUGCAACUCUCAAUGGCAUGGUAAAAUAGAUUAUUCUAACAGAGCACUUUUAUAGUUCUGUAUUGUUAGAGACCAAGACAAAAUUUUAAUCUCAAAUAAUUAGCAUCUGAAUUUAUAAACCCCAAUUCAGGACAUGAUUACAAUUGCCAAUAACUAUGAUGGGAUGACAGUGAGGUCCAGAUUGUCAUGUUGGCAAGGACUUGCAGCAUUGCAACCAGGGAUUCUGCAAAGCCCAAUCCGAGUUCAAUACUCUGUUUCCAAGACACCAUCAAUGAGCCCGAACUCCAUAGCCUGUGAGAGGAAAAUAGCACACUGGUUAUUCUUUUCUUUCAUUCAUAGAAAGUUUCAAUGCCUGUACAUUUUAAAAGCAUAAAGAUAUCACUGUAUCAGGCCCUUAAGAAGGAAAAUCAAUUCGACCAUGAUUGUCAUUCUCUUUUCCUCCUACUUGCAAGAAGCAAGAAGAAAGGAAAAAAGGACAGGCCUCAGCCAGGUUUAUAGUAUAUACUGACACCGAGUACCAUUUUCUCAUGAGUUUAACAAAAUGUAAAUUACACCCGUGACCUCUAAAAUUUGAGACGUAUGCUAUUUUGGCCUUCAUAGUUUGGAAAGUAACUUUCAAUCAUUUCUAUUCUUUCAACAUUAUGAAGAUAUAUGAUCACUCUAUUAGUGUUUCUAUUAAGUUCCACAUGUAUAUUAAUUAUUUAUUUAAUUUUAAAAAUUAUAUUAUAUUAAAAUAGUAAAAUUAAAAAUAGAAAAUAAUAAAAUUAUUUAUUUUGAAUUAAAAUAUUUCAUAAAAUAUAUCUUACAUUGGACUGGCCAACCACAACAGAGAGCCGAAUCUGGCCAAGUUGGCACUGCAAUGGUGUCUAGGCCAGAUCCAG
rnacentral:lncRNA from 1 species